rnacentral:rRNA from 1 species
GUCUUGAAACACGGACCAAGGAGUUUUAUAUUAUCGCGAGUCAAAGGGGCUAUACGAAACCCCACGGCGCANUGAAUGUAAAAGUUUUGCUUNNNGUGAACUGUGAUGUGACCUNNNNNNNNNNNNNNNNNCUAGUGCAACAUCGACCCGUCUAAAGGAGUUCGCUUCUGGGCGGAGUUUGAGCGAUAAUGUAGAGACCCGAAWGAUGGUGAACUAUGCUUGUGCAGGUUGAAGUCAGAGGAAACUCUGAUGGAGGACCGCCGCGGUUCUGACGUGCAAAUCGAUCGUCGGACAUGAGUAUAGGGGCGAAAGACUAAUCGAACCAUCUAGUAGCUGGUUCCCUCCGAAGUUUCCCUCAGGAUAGCUGGCAUUUAUUGUGUGUAGUUUUACCCGGUAAAGCGAAUGAUUAGAAGUAUUGGGGACGAAAUGUUUUCAACUUAUUCUCAAACUUUAAAUGGGUUCGAAGUGCAACUCGUUUAAUUAGAGUUGCACAUUGAAUACAAAUGCCUAGUGGGCCAUUUUUGGUAAGCAGAACUGGCGAUGUGGGAUGAACCAAACAUCUGGUUAAGGUGCCUAACAUCAUGCUCAUGAGAUACCACAAAAGGUGUUGGUUGAUAAAGACAGCAGGACGGUGGACAUGGAAGUCGUCAUCCGCUAAGGAGUGUGUAACAACUCACCUGCCGAAUCAACCAGCCCUGAAGAUGGAUGGCGCUGUAGCAUGAGACCUAUACCGGAUCGGCAGCGCAAGUCGAUUUCGUUAGAGAUUGAUGAGUAAGUGUUGCCGUGUAGGAGGGUGCCGUGGUUGCUAAGAAGCUACUGGCGGAGUCAGAGUGGAGCGGUCACGGGUACAGAUCUUGGUAGUAGUAGCAAUU